UACGUAGGGUGCGAGCGUUGUCCGGAAUUAUUGGGCGUAAAGAGCUCGUAGGCGGUCUGUCGCGUCGAAUGUGAAAACCCGGGGCUCAACUCCGGGCUUGCAUUCGAUACGGGCAGGCUAGAGUUCGGUAGGGGAGUCUGGAAUUCCUGGUGUAGCGGUGAAAUGCGUAGAUAUGUGGAGGAAUACCGGUGGCGAAGGCGGCCUCCUGGCUUAAUACUGACGCUGAGGUGCGGAAAGCGUGGGGAUCAAACAGGG
rnacentral:rRNA from 1 species